rnacentral:tRNA from 1 species
GGACCGUUAGCUCAGUUGGCUAGAGCGCUACCUUGACACGGUAGAGGUCACAGGUUCGAGUCCUGUACGGUCCACCA